rnacentral:rRNA from 1 species
AUGAACGCUGGCGGCGUGCCUAAUACAUGCAAGUCGAGCGAACAGACGAGGAGCUUGCUCCUCUGACGUUAGCGGCGGACGGGUGAGUAACACGUGGAUAACCUACCUAUAAGACUGGGAUAACUUCGGGAAACCGGAGCUAAUACCGGAUAAUAUAUUGAACCGCAUGGUUCAAUAGUGAAAGACGGUUUUGCUGUCACUUAUAGAUGGAUCCGCGCCGCAUUAGCUAGUUGGUAAGGUAACGGCUUACCAAGGCAACGAUGCGUAGCCGACCUGAGAGGGUGAUCGGCCACACUGGAACUGAGACACGGUCCAGACUCCUACGGGAGGCAGCAGUAGGGAAUCUUCCGCAAUGUGCGAAAGCCUGACGGAGCAACGCCGCGUGAGUGAUGAAGGUCUUCGGAUCGUAAAACUCUGUUAUUAGGGAAGAACAAAUGUGUAAGUAACUAUGCACGUCUUGACGGUACCUAAUCAGAAAGCCACGGCUAACUACGUG